rnacentral:lncRNA from 1 species
GCCGCUUUUGCGGUCGGGCUACGGAGGCCGGGUGGCCGGGAAAGCAUUUAAGAAGCUCUUGGAGUAACAUGAGUCAGAGUAAUGUAGGACCUGCAGGAAGUCUGUCAAGAUAGUUAGGAAAAAGAAGAAUUUAUAGACUCUUCGUCAAGAUCUUCAUUUACGCAGCUGUUAAAUCCAAGGCUACAGUUGUGGUGAAACCAUGAAUAAAAAUACAUCUUCUGUAGCAUCAUCCAGUCUGCUUGAAAAGGAUCCUGCCUUUCAGAUGAUUACAGUUACCAAGAAAACAGGCCUUGGUCUGAAGAUCCUAGGAGGAAUUAACCGGAAUGAAGGUCCAUUGGUAUAUAUUCAGGAAAUCAUUCCUGGAGGAGACUGUUAUAAGGAUGGACGUUUGAAACCAGGAGAUCAACUUGUCUCAGUAAACAGGGAGUCCAUGAUUGGUGUAUCAUUUGAAGAAGCAAAAAGCGUAAUUACCAGAGCCAAGCUGAGGUCAGAAUCUGCUUGGGAGAUAGCAUUCAUAAGACAGAAAUCUGACAGCAGCCAUUUAGAAAAUCCAUCUUGUUCAUCCCUUUUACAAGCUACAGGAGAAUAUGGACCUCAAGCCUCAAAAUUUAGCCUUAUUUCUUCUCCUGAAAUACUAAUUCCAAAGACCUCAUCCACUCCCAGAUCUACAGAUGCCAUUUUACCUUCUUUUAGGAGGAAUCAGAUAAAAACUGGAUACAAGAAAACAGAACAGAUUCCAAUUACUUCUUCAGACAACAGCCCUACAGAUAUGUCUAAUACAGAUAUUUCCCCUGCUUGGACUGAUAACUAUGGGCCACAAGGAAAGAAGAUUUCCCUAAAUCCAUCUGUUCGCGUUAAGGUAGAGAAACUAGAAAUGGCUCUAAAUUAUCUUGGAAUUCAGCCCACAAAAGAACAACACCAAGCCCUGAGAGAGAAAAUGCAAGUAGACCCAAAGGGGAUGGUGUCUUUUGGAGAUUUUGUCCACAUUGCCAGAAACUUGUUUUGCUUGCAAUUGGAUGAAGCCAAUGUUGGUGCACAUGAAAUUUCCAGCAUAUUAAAUUCACAGAUCUCUCAGGAGACAAGUGAUUCCUUAGAAACACAUGAAAUGGAAAAGCUUAAGCAUGAAAGAAAUAACGCCUUGGAAGAAGUGAAUACACUUAAGGAAAAAUUAUUUGAAUCGGAAAGGCAGAGGAAGCAAUUGACAGAAGAACUCCAGAACGUGAAACAAGAGGCCAAAGCUGUGGUCGAAGAAACAAGAGCCCUGCGAAGUCGGCUUCAUCUUGCCGAAGCUGCACAGAGACAGGCACAGGGAAUGGAAAUGGAUUACGAGGAAGUGAUCCGUCUGUUAGAGGCUGAGAUUGCAGAGCUGAAGGCUCAGCUUGCUGAUUAUUCUGACCAAAAUAAACUCAGCUCCGAAUUCGGUUAUGCUGUAUUAAAUGUGGAUGUGUGUCUUCAACAUGUUGGAUUGUGCCACACUCACAGGGGUUUCUGUCAGCAUCUGGAAAGUGUUCAGGAGUUAAGAAAGAGAAUCACAGUACUGGACUGCCAAUUGCGAAAAUCAGAAAUGGCUCGGAAAACUUUUGAGGCAUCCACUGAGAAGCUUCUCCGUUUUGUAGAGGCUAUUCAAGAUGUAUUUUCUGACAAUUCUGCACCUUUGUCAAAUUUAAGGUCUACCUUACGGGUGGGAGGAAGCUUACACAGCAGAUGGAAUCAAGUAUUUCAUCAAUCACGUAACACAGACUACGUCCUGGAUGCACCCCGUGAUGAGCGCGCUAAACUUGCCCUGCUCAGAGGAGAACGAAGAGGAUUGUUCCAGAGAACCUCCCGACCAGAGGAACUGAUGAUUUUCCGUGGGAAGCUGUGCCCCAUGGUCUUCCAGCGGCUCCAUCUCUGCAGAUAA